rfam:Myotis davidii contig105621, whole genome shotgun sequence.
GGUGGUUCUUGGGUGACGCACCCCGGAAUCGGGCUCCCAUUUCUCUGGUUCCGGGUGCGUCACCAGAGAACCGCA